UUUAAGCAAAAAUCAGAGAAGGUGAGGAUGAAGGCUGAUUGGGGCAACGAAAAAUGGGGGACAAGAGAGAAGAUAAGAUAGAGUCAUGCACGCUUUGUUGGCUGAAGAAAUCUCGUGAUUUUGGAGAUUUCUAGCGCGUAACAUUGGUCCAAAAUUACCUCCCUCCGCCUGUAAAAGGUUGAGCCCGAAGCUGCUUGGGGGGGGGAGAAGGAGCUGAGAAUGAAGAGAAGAGAGAUAGUGGACUGAGGACGAAAACCCGAGAAGGAGAAACCCAAUGAGGUAGGAUGCUGUUUGGGCUCUUGGCUUACAUUAUGAGGUGUUCACUUAACAUUGAAGUGAGUAUUUGUGGAAAAAGCAAACAUGUCAUGCAUCCCAACAGCAUUCUUCUUUAAGUUGAAUUUACACUAAGGGUAUAAUUAUAGCAUGUUAGCGGCAUCUCUUAAUGCCAUGUGAAUACCUAUUGCAUUUUGAAUUUUAUAUAUAGAUUAAUGGUUUACGGGUAUGAUAUUUUUUCCUGUUGCAAUUGCAUGUUUAUCUAAUUUAAGUCUUGCAUGAUUCUUCUUUUAUACACUUUAGAAUUGGAACUUGGGAAUGUCAUGUUAGAAUAAUUAAUUCAUUUUUUUUAUGGUGGUGAAAAAAAGAAUUUAGAAAAGAAGAAGAAGACGAUGAAGCCGAAAACAGAGGACCACAAGGAGAGAGAGAGAGAGAGAGAGAGAGAGAGAGAGAGAGAGAGAGAGAGAGAGAGAGAAUGAUGGUUGAGGAAGAUGAGAAGAAGACUUGAGAAUGGCGGUAAAGAAAGAAGAAGUAGGGAGAAAGUGGUGGUGAAGAAAGUAAAGCGGCGGCAUUUUUUUUUUCUUUCUCCUAAGUUGGUCACCCACACGCGCACAAAUAUAUACACACACACAGCUAUUUAUAAGCAUCCCCCUGUCUCUAUGUUCUCUAUCCCUGUUUUUUAAAAUUGAAGAAUUGAUGUGUUUUUAGCCUUAUGAUGUCUCUCAAAUUAGAUAAUUUACAUUUCAACCUUAUCAAUAAUUUGUAGUUUUUAGUUUAAUCAUAACAACUGACAUAAAAACUUAGUUUGAGCACGAGUGUUAGUGCAGUAGUGAAUUUAUAUUCGUAAAGUUUGAAGAAGCAUCUUGAAUUGAUGAUUUUUGCUGUUAGCGCAAGUAUAUCAGAGUUGAUGGUUCUUGUACUUUCGAG
rnacentral:lncRNA from 1 species